GACGAACGCUGGCGGCGUGCUUAACACAUGCAAGUCGAACGGAAAGGCCCCUUUGGGGGUACUCGAGUGGCGAACGGGGGAGUAACACGUGAGUAACCUGCCCUUGACUACGGGACAACUUUAGGAAACUGGGGCUAAUACCGGAAAGGAAUCAUAGCUGCAUGGGGGGGGUUGGAAAGCUUCGGCGGUUUUGGAUGGACUCGCGGCAUAUCAGCUUGUUGGUGGGGUAGUGGCUUACCAAGGCUUUGACGGGUAGCCGGCCUGAGAGGGCGACCGGCCACAUUGGGACUGAGAUGCGGCCCAGACUCCUACGGGUGGCAGCAGUGGGGAAUAUUGCACAAUGGGCGGAGGCCUGAUGCAGCAACGCCGCGUGCGGGAUGACGGCCUUCGGGUUGUAAACCGCUUUCAGCAGGGGCGAAGCUUGUGGUGACGGUACCUGCAGAAGAAGCACCGGCUAACUACGUG
rnacentral:rRNA from 1 species